rnacentral:rRNA from 1 species
GAUGAACGCUGGCGGCGUGCCUAAUACAUGCAAGUCGAGCGAACAGACGAGGAGCUUGCUCCUCUGACGUUAGCGGCGGACGGGUGAGUAACACGUGGAUAACCUACCUAUAAGACUGGGAUAACUUCGGGAAACCGGAGCUAAUACCGGAUAAUAUAUUGAACCGCAUGGUUCAAUAGUGAAAGACGGUUUUGCUGUCACUUAUAGAUGGAUCAGCGCCGCAUUAGCUAGUUGGUAAGGUAACGGCUUACCAAGGCGACGAUGCGUAGCCGACCUGAGAGGGUGAUCGGCCACACUGGAACUGAGACACGGUCCAGACACCUACGGGAGGCAGCAGUAGGGAAUCUUCCGCAAUGGGCGAAAGCCUGACGGAGCAACGCCGCGUGAGUGAUGAAGGUCUUCGGAUCGUAAAACUCUGUUAUUAGGGAAGAACAAAUGUGUAAGUAACUAUGCACGUCUUGACGGUACCUAAUCAGAAAGCCACGGCUAACUACGUG